rnacentral:rRNA from 1 species
CCCAAGAGACUGGGAUAACACCUGGAAACAGAUGCUAAUACCGGAUAACAACACUAGACGCAUGUCUAGAGUUUAAAAGAUGGUUCUGCUAUCACUCUUGGAUGGACCUGCGGUGCAUUAGCUAGUUGGUAAGGUAACGGCUUGCCAAGGCAAUGAUGCAUAGCCGAGUUGAGAGACUGAUCGGCCACAUUGGGACUGAGACACGGCCCAA